UGGCGGCAGGCCUAACACAUGCAAGUCGAGCGGUAACAUUUCUAGCUUGCUAGAAGAUGACGAGCGGCGGACGGGUGAGUAACGCGUAGAAAUCUACCUAGUAGUGGGGGAUAGCCCAGAGAAAUUUGGAUUAAUACCGCAUACGCCCUACGGGGGAAAGCGGGGGAUCUUCGGACCUCGUGCUAUUAGAUGAGUCUGCGUCGGAUUAGCUUGUUGGUGAGGUAAUGGCUCACCAAGGCGACGAUCCGUAGCUGAUCUGAGAGGAUGACCAGCCACACUGGAACUGAGACACGGUCCAGACUCCUACGGGAGGCAGCAGUGGGGAAUAUUGCACAAUGGGCGCAAGCCUGAUGCAGCCAUGCCGCGUGUGUGAAGAAGGCCUUAGGGUUGUAAAGCACUUUCAGCAGUGAGGAAAGGGGUGUCGUUAAUAGCGCCAUCCUGUGACGUUAACUGCAGAAGAAGGACCGGCUAACUCCGUG
rnacentral:rRNA from 1 species